UUUUGCCAUGAAUAGGAGUGAUCAUUCGGUUAUAACCGAACCGAAUAGGCUAUUCGGUUAUAAUCGAAUACCGAAUUAUCGAUAAUUCUACUAUCCGAAAUACUAACCGAAAUUUGAAACUAACCGAAUUACCGAAUUGUACAUUUGGAUAUUCGGGUAAUAACCGAACCUGUGCUCUUUUUAAAAUUAAGAAUACAACAACAUAUUACAAAGUAAUACAAAGUAACUUAAGUACUUAGCAGCAACAUCCCAACAUCCAACAUCCAACAUUCCAACAUAAAGUUUAUGACACAACAUCAACAAGCCAACAAAUACAGCAGCAAAUUAACUGUUAACUGUCCAACAAGCCAACAAGCAACAACAAGCCAACAACAUGGUGUUUGAGAUAUCCCAACAACAACAACAGCCAAACAGCAACAGCAACAAGCAAGCAAGAGAUAUCCCAGUAACUGCAGUUAGGAAGUAGAUGGCAGUUAGGUAGUGAAGAAUGGUGUUUGAUCUUUAAGAGUUAACACAGAUGAACAAACAAUUAAGCUUCAUUUAGAAAUUAAUUAAACUGAUAAUAAUAUAUAUAGCACAAAAGAACAGAGAGAACAUAGAGAAAUUAAUUAAACUGUAUCUUAUAACCCUUUCUUCUUUCAAUCUAUCCCCAAGUCUCCACCCAACUCCCUUUUAAAACAAAGCACUAUAACAAAAUUUCAGCUCACAAGUUACAACAAGCACCAUAUGGUUUGAAGUUUAGUUUGAACACACUAGUUUUGUCGCUCAUCAGACCUGUUUUUGCAAUCUAAACAAACUCAUAUUAAUGUUUGACCCUGAAAGGAAGGUGUGAUCCUCCUGUAUGUAUACUUGUACUAAUCCAGUGAUGGCUUUGAAGAAUUUCUCACUUAUUGAUGGCUUACUCUACAAAGC
rnacentral:lncRNA from 1 species